rnacentral:rRNA from 1 species
UGAACGCUAGCGACAGGCUUAACACAUGCAAGUCGAGGGGCAGCGGGGGUAGCAAUACCCGCCGGCGACCGGCGCACGGGUGAGUAACGCGUAUGCAACUUACCUAUCAGAGGGGGAUAACCCGGCGAAAGUCGGACUAAUACCGCAUGAAGCAGGGGCCCCGCAUGGGGAUAUUUGCUAAAGAUUCAUCGCUGAUAGAUAGGCAUGCGUUCCAUUAGGCAGUUGGCGGGGUAACGGCCCACCAAACCGACGAUGGAUAGGGGUUCUGAGAGGAAGGUCCCCCACAUUGGUACUGAGACACGGACCAAACUCCUACGGGAGGCAGCAGUGAGGAAUAUUGGUCAAUGGCCGAGAGGCUGAACCAGCCAAGUCGCGUGAGGGAUGAAGGUUCUAUGGAUCGUAAACCUCUUUUAUAAGGGAAUAAAGUGCGGGACGUGUCCCGUUUUGUAUGUACCUUAUGAAUAAGGAUCGGCUAACUCCGUGCCAGCAGCCGCGGUAAUACGGAGGAUCCGAGCGUUAUCCGGAUUUAUUGGGUUUAAAGGGUGCGUAGGCGGCCUUUUAAGUCAGCGGUGAAAGUCUGUGGCUCAACCAUAGAAUUGCCGUUGAAACUGGGGGGCUUGAGUAUGUUUGAGGCAGGCGGAAUGCGUGGUGUAGCGGUGAAAUGCAUAGAUAUCACGCAGAACCCCGAUUGCGAAGGCAGCCUGCCAAGCCAUUACUGACGCUGAUGCACGAAAGCGUGGGGAUCAAACAGGAUUAGAUACCCUGGUAGUCCACGCAGUAAACGAUGAUCACUAGCUGUUUGCGAUACACUGUAAGCGGCACAGCGAAAGCGUUAAGUGAUCCACCUGGGGAGUACGCCGGCAACGGUGAAACUCGAAGGAAUUGACGGGGGCCCGCACAAGCGGAGGAACAUGUGGUUUAAUUCGAUGAUACGCGAGGAACCUUACCCGGGUUUGAACGCAUUCGGACCGAGGUGGAAACACCUUUUCUAGCAAUAGCCGUUUGCGAGGUGCUGCAUGGUUGUCGUCAGCUCGUGCCGUGAGGUGUCGGCUUAAGUGCCAUAACGAGCGCAACCCUUGCCACUAGUUACUAACAGGUAAAGCUGAGGACUCUGGUGGGACUGCCAGCGUAAGCUGCGAGGAAGGCGGGGAUGACGUCAAAUCAGCACGGCCCUUACAUCCGGGGCGACACACGUGUUACAAUGGCGUGGACAAAGGGAGGCCACCUGGCGACAGGGAGCGAAUCCCCAAACCACGUCUCAGUUCGGAUCGGAGUCUGCAACCCGACUCCGUGAAGCUGGAUUCGCUAGUAAUCGCGCAUCAGUCAUGGCGCGGUGAAUACGUUCCCGGGCCUUGUACACACCGCCCGUCAAGCCAUGGGAGCCGGGGGUACCUGAAGUCCGUAACCGAAAGGAUCGGCCUAGGGUAAAACUGGUGACUGGGGC